GAUGAACGCUAGCGGGAGGCUUAACACAUGCAAGUCGAGGGGCAGCAUAGGGUAGCAAUACUCUGAUGGCGACCGGCAAACGGGUGAGUAACGCGUAUGCAACCUACCCUGUACAGGGGGAUAACCCGGAGAAAUUCGGACUAAUAUCCCGUAAUAAUAUCCGGAGGCAUCUUUGGAUAUUUAAAGUUCCGACGGUACGGGAUGGGCAUGCGUAACAUUAGCUGGUUGGUAAGGUAACGGCUUACCAAGGCUAUGAUGUUUAGGGGUCCUGAGAGGGUGGUCCCCCACACUGGUACUGAGACACGGACCAGGACUCCUACGGGAGGCAGCAGUGAGGAAUAUUGGUCAAUGGGCGCAAGGCCUGAACCAGCCAUCCCGCGUGCAGGAAGACGGCCCUAUGGGUUGUAAACUGGCUUUUCCAGGGUAGAGAAACUUACGCACGUGUUGCGUGACUGAGGUACCCUGGGAACUAAGCAAUCGGCUAAUCCGUGCCAGCAGCCGCGGUAAAACGUUACCGUC
rnacentral:rRNA from 1 species